UACCAUGUUCUGCAUGUUUCCACCUCUGUUUCAAACACGACGCGAUAAAAUUGAAGACUUUUUCGGGGCACGUGUCAAAUGUAUUGCUAAUUCAUAGGCGAUGCUGAAAGUGGUUUCAUCCUCAUUUCUACGGUCUCUGUGCGCUAAUAUUUAAUGGUUUUCAUCGUGCAGCAACAUGGUAAACCGUUGUUGUGUCAAGACAUGCAAGCAACACUUUGAUUACAAGCCCCAACAUAAGCAGGGUGCAAAAUGGAAACUACACAGAACCUUGGUACGUCACCUGCGACGGCGACGUCACCUGCGAGUUCCGCGGAACCCCUGACGCCGUCACCAGCUGGACCAUCCGCGGCACUGGACCAUCCAGCGACGGCCGUGACGCCGUCACCAGCUGGACCAUCCGUGGCACUGGACCAUCCAGCGAAGGCCGUGACGCCGUC